AUGAUCAAAUUCUUCAGGAGGUGUUGGUACUUAAUUCUUUUUAUCCUCUUCCUGUCCCCGCCUCCAUCUCUUGGUCCUCUUCCCAUUUGCAAAGGCUCUACUUCCCCAUUUCCUAUGAUCUAUCUUUAUUUUGCUCUUUAUAUAUUUUGGGUUCCUCAUAUAACAGAAAGCAUGUGGUAUUUAAGCCUGUGUCUGUUUAGUUCUCUUAACAUUACAGUCUUAAGGUGCAUCCAUUUUCCUCCAAACGUUUCACGUUUAUCUUCUAUGGCUGACUAGUAAUCCACUGUAUAUAAAUAUUUUCUUUAUCCAUUCACCUGUUAAUGGACAUGAAGGCCAUUUCCAGUAUUUAGCUAUCAUGAAUUGUUGUGCUACAAGCAUGGGUAUGCACCUAUCACUAUAAUAUUACAUCUUUAACUCUUUGGGGCAGAUACCUAGAGAAAGAGAACAGCUGGGUCAAAUGGAAUUUCUAGUUUUAGGUUUCUGAGAAAUGUCCCCACUGAUUCCACAAUGGUUGUACUAAUUUAUACUCCCAUCAACAACGUAGGGUUCCUUUUGCCCCUGCAGCCUCACUGGCAUUUACUAUUAUUUGAUUUCUUGAUCAUAGUCAUCUUUCUGGAGUAAGGUGGAAUCUCAGUGUUGUUUUAAUUUGCAUUUCUGUCAUGCCCAGCAAUGCUGAGUGUUUCUUCAGUGUAUUUAUUGGCUAUCUGAUCUUCUUCUGAGAAGUGUUUAUUUCAGUUUCCCAUUUUUUGACUGAGUCUUUUAUUUUUUUGAGGGGGUCAGUUUAAAAUUAUAAACAUUUACUCCUAAAUGCCUUUAAUAUACUAGGUUCUUAAACACAGAAACUUUUCAUAGGAAUAAUGCUCUGAACGCUAAAACAGCUCAAAUAUAUAAAACCUAGGAAGUUGCUCCUAAAUAAACUGACUAAAAUUCUGACAGGAAGUUCUAGCAAUCAGUGAAAUUCAUCGUGUCAUUUCUGGCACAGCAGUUUUCAGCUGUCUACUUAACGUGGGAUGCACUGAUUCAUCAUGUAAGUAUUUACUCAUCUUGCUGGAACUGCUCUAACCGAGACACACAGAAAUUCACAUUGGUCUUUCUUCCCAAUUUGACUCCCAUCAACAACAGUGUUUUCCCCCAAUUUCACUCCCUUAAACAGUAACAUACAUUGAUUAUCAGAGCAGCCGUCUGCUUUUUUUUUUUGUCUUUUUGAGACAGGGUCUCGCUAUGCAGUUCAGGCUGGCCUUGAGCUUACUUUGUAGCCCAGGCUGGUCUUGAACUCACAACGAUCCUCCUGCCUCAGCCUCCUUCCCAAAUGCAAUUACAGGUGUCCGCCACCACGCCCGGCACAGAGCAGCUAUUUGUAUUAAAUUUUGCAGUAGUAUUUAUGAAUUUAUAUCUUAGAUUGUAAGCUUAUAGGCCUUUUUUUUUGAGUCAAAGAUUUGAGAGUCUCAUAAUAGGUAUAGAUGUGAUUUUCACUAGGAAAAUGCUCACAAAAUGUGCUUUUAGUCAUUUUAGUCAUGCACGUUGUAGCAUUUCCAUCAUAUGCUAUGGUAGUCCCAUAAGAAUACACUGUCUCCUGACUCCAUAGCUGCCUUAGUUUAUGUAAGUGCAAUGAUAAAACUGCCUAAACUAUCAAGAGACAUGCCUAUAAAUAAAGCACAUCCACUGAUUCAACAUUUUUGUUAUACACAGUAUGCACUAUGCUUCUGAACUACUGUGUACUGUGACGUUAACUGAUCAAAUAAAAAGAAAAACAGAAGUUAAGUGUCUAAGAGCUCAAGACUUUGGGACACAGAUCUGGUUCUAGGUUCUAUUAUUUAUAACAUAACCAGUGUCAGAGGUGUUUAAACGUUAAGUGAGAUAAUUAUGUAUAAAUAAUUUAUUCUUGUCCCGAAAAAGGUCUGCUGGCUUUCUUCCACUCUUGAGAAGUAACUGCUAAGCCUUCGAAAUGUCAUGCUUGAUAGGUGUGUGUGUCUGAGAACUGCAGGUCACUGGAUAAUCUAAUAAUAUAAUGUAGGGCAGGGCUGCAACACUGGACAGUCCUAGUAUACGGGCUGGUCAAGCCAGAAGGACCAAAACUGUGACUCAACAGGAGCUUUGGGUGGUGUAGUGUCAGCUGAUCUGCGGAGGGGAUGGAUACGAGCUCAGCCACGUGGGCCAUCAAUCACACUUUCAGUAUGGAGUCCCUGUAAAAUCUGUGGAAUAUGAGCUCACAGCAGUGUGCCUUUCUUACAUAAGGAAGGCAUAAUAGAUGCUCUCUGCUUGGUCCUUUUUCUGUGUGCUGCCCUAUAUUCUUCUUUCCUUGGCUGAUUUCUUUGUCUGUUUUGGCAGUGCUAGAGACUGAACCCAGGGCCUUGAGCACACUCAGGUGCUGCCUGAACCCCCUUGGCUGAAUUUAAUCUGUAUCCUUUCCCUGUAAGAAACUGUAACUAUAACUGCUUUCAGCAAAUUCUGUGAGUCCUUCUAGGGAAUCUGUGAAUCUGAGGGUGCUUUUGGGUACCUCCCAAAGUUGUACUUUGUAUCAGAAGUAGGGUAGUCUUGUUUGGACUGUUCUAUUUCAGAGUUGGCUAAAAUCUAGUAAUUCUCAUAAAGAACUAGCAAACCCAGGCAUGGUAGCACACACCUAAAAACCUAAGCUACUCUAGAGGCUGAAGCAGGAGAACUGCAAGUUUGAAGGUUAGUCUGUGAUGGAGACCACAAUGAAGCAGCCCUGAGCAGGACUUAAAUUAACCAGUGGGUUUUUCAUAUUUACUUGUGAGUCUGUCCAAAGCCUAGGACACUUGUCUGGAAGUGGACGAUGGAGUCAUAGUAAGUGAACCUCUGUGAGUCACUAAUCCCUACUAAAACCUGUAAUGG
ensembl:lincRNA